GCCAGAGAAAUGACAGUGACCUGAUCUUUCCUGAAGUCUCUCUCCUUCUACAAGCACCCUGUGUGAAGCCUGUGGGGAGCCCUCAAUAAAUAUUUGUUGAGUGGAUUGGAUAAAUGGAAUCGCUUCUGGAUCACUUGCCCACUUUAAAGAAUUCCCAAUGUGGUGAGUGGUUUGACAUUUGUGCAUAAUAUGGAGAAAGAGCAAGACUGAAAUGUGGCUGUUAAGAGUCUUGGGCUCAUGUUUGCUAAUCUCCUGUAUGGUGAAACACUGGCACCCAGACAAACUCUCAUUCACAUUGGAACAAAGCACUAGUUAUGUGUGUUGAAAUUCCUUAGAGAAAAUGUCUUGCAGCCUGUUGGGGAGUACAUGAAUGCUGGAAAUACUUCACCCAAUGUUGCUCAACGUCCUGGGAAGACAGUGUGCUGGCAUCUGGACACCCACUCUGGAGAAGGAUUGCAGUGCUCUAGGGCACGUGGGUCUGGUGAGCCCCAAAUCCAAUGAAACUGUCUUUAUGAGACAAGAAGAGGAGACAGACACACAGAGAAGGCAAUCAGAAGACAGAGGCAGAGUUGGGAGUUACGCAGCCGUAGACCACAGAACGCCCGGAGCCACCGGAAGCUGGAAGAAGCAAGGAAGCCUUCUCCCUCAGAGCCUUCGGAGGGGGCGUGGUCCUGCUGACACCUUGAUUUUGGACAUCUGGCUUCCAGAA